AGUGAACGCUGGCGGUAGGCCUAACACAUGCAAGUCGAACGGCAGCACAGUAAGAGCUUGCUCUUACGGGUGGCGAGUGGCGGACGGGUGAGGAAUACAUCGGAAUCUACUUUUUCGUGGGGGAUAACGUAGGGAAACUUACGCUAAUACCGCAUACGACCUACGGGUGAAAGCAGGGGAUCUUCGGACCUUGCGCGAUUGAAUGAGCCGAUGUCGGAUUAGCUAGUUGGCGGGGUAAAGGCCCACCAAGGCGACGAUCCGUAGCUGGUCUGAGAGGAUGAUCAGCCACACUGGAGCUGAGACACGGUCCAGACUCCUACGGGAGGCAGCAGUGGGGAAUAUUGGACAAUGGGCGGAAGCCUGCUCCAGCCAUACCGCGUGGGUGAAGAAGGCCUUCGGGUUGUAAAGCCCUUUUGUUGGGAAAGAAAAGCAGCAGGUUAAUACCCCGCUGUUCUGACGGUACCCAAAGAAUAAGCACCGGCUAACUUCGUG
rnacentral:rRNA from 1 species